CUUAAAUCACUAACGGGCCUAAACACCAUCCUCCAUGGAGGUGAAUUCCCCAGUGACUCCCUGUCAGCGAUUGUAACAGUAAUACCCAAGGAGGGCAAAGAACCCAUCUGCUGCGUGAGCUACCACCUGAUCUCUCUCUUAAAUGCCAACCUCAAAUUGUUCUCCAAAGCAAUGGCCCUGAGACUAUACAGAGUUCUCCCCACAAUGGUGCAGGUGGG